rnacentral:lncRNA from 1 species
GAUGUUAUGUCUACGAGAAGGAGAAGGAGAUCAUCACGAAUGGUGAGCGGCAUGAUAAGAAUAUCGAGAAAGUGGUGGCUCGACAUGAUGAGAAUGUCGAGACGGUCAUCGUUCUAGGGAUGGAGAAAGGGCAUCGUGGAGGAUGGCUGCUAUGCUUGGAUGGCACUAAAUUUGCCGUCGGUUCCUCCGUCAGUGAUUGCUACUGCUAUUGAGUUUAUUGUCAUUGAAGACUGUGUACCACCUCUGUCAAUACUUUCAUUUGCUGUAUUAAAGCAGCGAUUUGAACGUCUAUAGUGACUAUAGGACGUGAAGAACUGGGUUCUGCCAUUG